GAUGAACGCUGGCGGCGUGCUUAACACAUGCAAGUCGAACGGACUUAUGUUGAAACCUAGUGAUAUAUAAGUUAGUGGCGGACGGGUGAGUAACGCGUGGAUAACCUGCCAUAUACAGGGGGAUAACACUUAGAAAUAGGUGCUAAUACCGCAUAAGUGCACAGCUUCGCAUGAAGCGGUGUGAAAAACUCCGGUGGUAUAUGAUGGAUCCGCGUCUGAUUAGCUAGUUGGCGGGGUAACGGCCCACCAAGGCGACGAUCAGUAGCCGGCCUGAGAGGGUGAACGGCCACAUUGGGACUGAGACACGGCCCAA
rnacentral:rRNA from 1 species